rnacentral:rRNA from 1 species
CCUACGGGGGGCAGCAGUGAGGAAUAUUGGUCAAUGGGCGCGAGCCUGAACCAGCCAAGUCGCGUGAGGGAUGACGGUCCUACGGAUUGUAAACCUCUUUUGCCGGGGAGCAAGCGUGCGUUCGUGAACGCGCGCCGAGAGUCCCCGGAGAAAAAGCACCGGCUAACCCCGUGCCAGCAGCCGCGGUAAUACGGGGGUUGCGAGCGUUAUCCGGAUUUAUUGGGUUUAAAGGGUGCGUAGGCGGACGGUUAAGUCAGCGGUAAAAGCCCGGGGCUCAACCCCGGCGAGCCGUUGAAACUGGCUGUCUUGAGAGGGCGAGAGGUAUGCGGAAUGCGCAGUGUAGCGGUGAAAUGCUUAGAUAUUGCGCAGAACUCCGAUUGCGAAGGCAGCAUACCGGCGGCGAUCUGACGCUGAGGCACGAAAGCGUGGGUAUCGAACAGGAUUAGAUACCCCUGUAGUC